CUAGGGCAUUGAAUAUCGAACAAUACGUCAAUUUCAAUGAUUUUGGGGUUUUUUGAGACACCCUGUGUAGGGUGUCUCAAAAAAACCCAAAAUCAUUGAAAUUGACGUAUUGUUCGAUAUUCAAU